CUGAGGCCGGCGUCAAAGUGAGCGCGGCAUGGAGGGGUCUGCCUAACUGGGGCCCGUGGCCCUGCGUCUUCUGGCUGCGACGCGGGUCCUGCGCACGCUGCGGGGCCGCAGCCGCCGGGCGGUGGGCGCCCGAGGGGCCGGGAGGCGAGCCGGGGCCCCCAGGCGGGUGUGGGCACCGUGUCCACAGCCAGCGUCCCCGAUGCCGCGCUCGGGCCAUGAUGACCGGUGAAGCUGCGCUGCGACAGCGCGGCCGACUUCUUCCCUGUGUCCAGUAGUGGUCUGGAGGGUUAUUUGUCAAGGUGUAAAGAGUUCUACCACUCUUAAGACAGUAAACUUCACGGGGUGUAAUCUGACAUGGCAGGGAGCAGAUCACAUGGCCAAGAUCUUAAAGUAUCAGACUACCAGAAGGCAUGAAGAAACCUGGGCUGAGAGUCUUCGUUCCAGGAGACCUGAUCUUGACUGUAUGGCUGGUUUGAGGCGCAUCUCUCUGAACUGCAACACGCUCAUUGGUGACCUGGGUGCAAGUGCUUUGGCAGAAUCUCUUAGUGAGGAUUUAUGGCUUAGAGCACUUGACCUGCAGCAGUGUGGCCUCACCAGUGAAGGAGCAAAGGCUUUACUAAAGGCCCUUGAAACCAACAGAACUCUGCUCGUUCUGGAUAUAAGAAAAAAUCCACUUGUUGAUCAUUCUGUGAUGAAAGCAGUUAUCAAGAAAUGUCUCCAGAAUGGAAGGAGUGCCAAGUCAGAGUACCAGUGGAUAACUUCUCCAUCGGUGAAGGAACCAUCCAAAGCUGCUAGACAGAAAAAGAGAACUAUAAUUUUGGGAAGUGGUCGAAAAGGAAAAGCUACUAUUAGAAUUGAUGUCCAGUGGAGCCCCAGAAUAGAAGCAAGACAAAUAUUCCAUUCCACAUUGGCGACACCAAAGGAGAUGAUGCUUUAGAAAAAAGAUUUCUCGACAAAGCUCUUGAACUCAAUAUGAUCUCCCUGAAAGGGCAUAGGUGCUCGAGAGAGGGUAUAUUCAUCUGUGUUAAUCACUGCUGUGUUUCCUGAACAUGCCUAUGAAACAUACUGAAGAAUGGUGCCUGAAAUUUGAAGUAAGUUCAGAUUCAAAUGGAAAGCAUGGCCUCCCGGAGCUGUUAACACCUUCACUUAGUCUUGGAUGUGACCAGUAGCACAGAAUUCUGGUGGAACUAGUAAGACUCCAAAUGGGUACCAAAUAAGCAUGUCAUGGAAAGCACACCAUGAGCAGGGUGAAAACUAGAUGUGAAUGGGGCAGCAGGAAUGGUGGCAGACACACAUAUUGCACAUGUCCCCUCUGCUCAUGCGUAUAUUUUAUUGUCCCAUAAACUUUACUUACAAAACGUAAGUUCAAAGAUAAAAUCAUUAAGAAUUUCAAGACAUCAAUAGCAGAGCAUGAAACCAAGCAAGCGUGGGGCCCUUCUGAACAUGGUUCAUGCGGGACUUGAUCAACUGGUAAAAGAGCCAAGACUCUGAGAUACCCACACCAUGUCAGUGACAGAAGUCCAAGCUAGAGAUAUUGAAGGAGCCCUCAAUGCCAUUCAGGCACUGAAAGCCCUGUCACUGAGAAUGAACCAAAAUGUAAAUUUAGGAGGAUAAUUUAUGGACAUUUAGGACUUUGGAUUUUUAACCCACAAUAACAAGAAAACUUCAUUUCACAAGAAAGUGUGAGGGCUUCUCUGGUGGCGCAGUGGUUGAGACUCUGCCUGCCAAUGCAGGGGACACGGGUUCGAGCCCUGGUCUGGGAAGAUCCCACAUGCCGCGGAGCGACUAGGCCCGUGAGCCACAAUUGCUGAGCCUGCACGUCUGGAGCCUGUGCUCCGCAACAAGUAGAGGCCGCGAUAGUGAGAGGCCCGCGCACCACAAUGAAGAGUGGCCCCCACUUGCCACAACUAGAGAAAGCCCUCGCACAGAAACGAAGACCCAACACAGCCAAAAAUAAAUAAAUAAAUAAAAUUAAAAAAAAAAAAAAAAAAAGAAAGUGUGAGGUCUUCAAGUUUGCUUUGGUUAUUGAGGGUCCUUUGUG